rnacentral:rRNA from 1 species
AACGAACGCUGGCGGCAUGCCUAACACAUGCAAGUCGAACGAGACCUUCGGGUCUAGUGGCGCACGGGUGCGUAACGCGUGGGAACCUGCCCUUAGGUUCGGAAUAACUCCCCGAAAGGGGUGCUAAUACCGGAUAAUGUCUUCGGCCCAAAGAUUUAUCGCCUUUGGAUGGUCCCGCGUUGGAUUAGCUAGUUGGUAGGGUAAAAGCCUACCAAGGCGACGAUCCAUAGCUGGUCUGAGAGGAUGAUCAGCCACACUGGGACUGAGACACGGCCCAGACUCCUACGGGAGGCAGCAGUGGGGAAUAUUGGAAAAUGGGCGAAAGCCUGAGCCAGCAAUGCCGCGUGAGUGAUGAAGGCCUUAGGGUUGUAAAGCUCUUUUACCCGGGAUGAUAAUGACAGUACCGGGAGAAUAAGCGCCGGCUAACUCCGUG